GGCUAAAUACUCGUGAUCGACCGAUAGUGAACCAGUACCGUGAGGGAAAGGCGAAAAGAACCCCGGGAGGGGAGUGAAAUAGAUCCUGAAACCGCAUGCAUACAAACAGUCGGAGCCUCGCAAGGGGUGACGGCGUACCUUUUGUAUAAUGGGUCAGCGACUUACGUUCAGUAGCAAGCUUAACCGAAUAGGGCAGGCGUAGCGAAAGCGAGUCCGAAUAGGGCGUUCAGUUGCUGGGCGUAGACCCGAAACCAGGUGAUCUAUCCAUGGCCAGGAUGAAGGUGCGGUAACACGUACUGGAGGUCCGAACCCACUAACGUUGAAAAGUUAGGGGAUGAGCUGUGGAUAGGGGUGAAAGGCUAAACAAACCUGGAAAUAGCUGGUUCUCUCCGAAAACUAUUUAGGUAGUGCCUCGUGUCUCACCUUCGGGGGUAGAGCACUGUCAUGGUUGGGGGGUCUAUUGCAGAUUACCCCGCCAUAGCAAACUCCGAAUACCGAAGAGUGCAAUCACGGGAGACAGAC
rnacentral:rRNA from 1 species